GGGCCCAUGGUCUAGCUGGUUAUGACGUCGCCCUCACACGGCGGAGGUCCGGGGUUCGAAUCCCCGUGGGCCCA
rnacentral:tRNA from 1 species